UUUCUUAACUACUGAGAGCUAUUAUUAAACACCCCUUUCUUAGCAAAAUAGAAGUGGGCAUAUGUGUGACAAACAGAA
rnacentral:snoRNA from 1 species